AUUGAACGCUGGCGGAAUGCUUUACACAUGCAAGUCGAACGGUAGAGGGGGCAACCCCUCGAGAGUGGCGAACGGGUGAGUAAUAUAUCGGAACGUGCCCAGUCGUGGGGGAUAACGUAGCGAAAGUUACGCUAAUACCGCAUACGAUCUAAGGAUGAAAGCGGGGGAUCGCAAGACCUCGCGGGAUUGGAGCGGCGGAUAUCAGAUUAGGUAGUUGGUGGGGUAAAGGCGCACCAAGCCAACGAUCUGUAGCUGGUCUGAGAGGACGACCAGCCACACUGGAACUGAGACACGGUCCAGACUCCUACGGGAGGCAGCAGUGGGGAAUUUUGGACAAUGGACGGAAGUCUGAUCCAGCCAUUCCGCGUGCAGGAUGAAGGCCCUCGGGUUGUAAACUGCUUUUGUACGGAACGAAAAGGUCUCUCUUAAUACGGGGGGCUCAUGACGGUACCGUAAGAAUAAGCACCGGCUAACUACGUGCCAGCAGCCGCAGUAA
rnacentral:rRNA from 1 species